rnacentral:lncRNA from 1 species
GUGGCUGUUUGGGGUGAAGGGAGAAAUGCAGGAUUGCUUUGAUUUUUGUCUUAGCAAAAAAUCUGACCAUAAAUCUCCAAGCUCUAUGGUCUGUAAAUUCAACAACAUACCAUGUUUUCCCCUAAUGAUGAAAUAAAGGAUGAAAGGUGCUCUCUGGCAAAGGCUGCUACUAAAUGCAAGAAACCCCGGGACAAGCCACCCACUGAAGGCAUGUGCACAUGUGUUCUCUGAAACUCAUGAUAUGUGGCAGCCA